GACGAACGCUGGCGGCGUGCCUAACACAUGCAAGUCGAACGGAACUUCUUUAAAGGAUUUCUUCGGAAUGAAUUUGAUUAAGUUUAGUGGCGGACGGGUGAGUAACGCGUGAGUAACCUGCCUCUGAGAGGGGAAUAACAUUCUGAAAAGAAUGCUAAUACCGCAUAAUAUAUAUUUAUCGCAUGGUAGAUAUAUCAAAGAUUUAUCGCUUAGAGAUGGACUCGCGUCCGAUUAGUUAGUUGGUGAGGUAACGGCUCACCAAGACCGCGAUCGGUAGCCGGACUGAGAGGUUGAACGGCCACAUUGGGACUGAGACACGGCCCAGACUCCUACGGGAGGCAGCAGUGGGGGAUAUUGCGCAAUGGGGGAAACCCUGACGCAGCAACGCCGCGUGAAGGAUGUAGGUCUUCGGAUUGUAAACUUCUUUUAUUAAGGACGAAGAAAGUGACGGUACUUAAUGAAUAAGCUCCGGCUAACUACGUGCCAGCAGCCGCGGUAAUACGUAGGGAGCAAGCGUUGUCCGGAUUUACUGGGUGUAAAGGGUGCGUAGGCGGCUUUGCAAGUCAGAUGUGAAAUCUAUGGGCUCAACCCAUAGCCUGCAUUUGAAACUGCAGAGCUUGAGUGAAGUAGAGGCAGGCGGAAUUCCCCGUGUAGCGGUGAAAUGCGUAGAGAUGGGGAGGAACACCAGUGGCGAAGGCGGCCUGCUGGGCUUUAACUGACGCUGAGGCACGAAAGCGUGGGUAGCAAACAGGAUUAGAUACCCUGGUAGUCCACGCUGUAAACGA
rnacentral:rRNA from 1 species